AAUUCUCAACCUUUGAAACAUUUUUUUCAAAAGCUUGGACUGUGGAGGCUUGCCGGCAUAUUACUUGUCAGCUCCUCUUAAAUGCAUUAGCGGGACCUUUUGUUUAGGACUUGGCUCCAGUUUGGUAAUUCUAUCUAUGCUGUUGCUGUUGACCUUUGUAUGUUCUGCUUCUAAUGGUCUUCGGACUGUCUCUUCUAUGAGGCAUACAACUUUUAA
rnacentral:misc_RNA from 1 species